AUUGAACGCUGGCGGCAGGCCUAACACAUGCAAGUCGAGCGGAUGAAGGGAACUUGCUCCUGGAUUCGGCGGCGGACGGGUGAGUAAUGCCUAGGAAUCUGCCUGGUAGUGGGGGAUAACGUCCGGAAACGGGCGCUAAUACCGCAUACGUCCUGAGGGAGAAAGUGGGGGAUCUUCGGACCUUACGCUAUCAGAUGAGCCUAGGUCGGAUUAGCUAGUUGGUGGGGUAAAGGCCUACCAAGGCGACGAUCCGUAACUGGUCUGAGAGGAUGAUCAGUCACACUGGAACUGAGACACGGUCCAGACUCCUACGGGAGGCAGCAGUGGGGAAUAUUGGACAAUGGGCGAAAGCCUGAUCCAGCCAUGCCGCGUGUGUGAAGAAGGUCUUCGGAUUGUAAAGCACUUUAAGUUGGGAGGAAGGGCAGUAAGUUAAUACCUUGCUGUUUUGACGUUACCAACAGAAUAAGCACCGGCUAACUUCGUG
rnacentral:rRNA from 1 species